UUUUGAAGAGUAUAUAUGGACGAGUUAACUUUAUAAACAGUAAUAAAGUAAAGGUGUUGGAUAUAUACUAUUAAACGUAUAAAUAUAGAUAGAGGCGCAAGUUAAUUGUAUAAACAGAAUUAGUGAUUAGUGUUGGAUGAGGAGAUGUCUAAUUGCUGUAGUUUUAUUAUCCAUUUGAGUGGUAGCUUAUAUUUUACCCAUUUAUUCACAGGAUGAAGCCAACGUACAUGUAAUAGUGUUAUCAUCCUAUACGGUUCAUCGCCCACAGCGAAGAACCACGCGUAUGGUGUGAUCAAGAGAAUAAACCCUCGAACCCUU